GUUGUUGCGCGGCCCGGAGCCGAGCGCAACAGCAACCGCGCAACCCCAGCCUCACGCUGUGCCCUUGACUGAAAGUUCCCUGAGCCAUCUGCCCGUGCUUUGUUUCUUCUGGUGAAAUAAAAGGCCCCGUCGUUCCCUCCUGCGCUCCUCGUACAGCAGCAGGAGCGAGGUUGACUCCAGCCCAAAGAGGACUUUGAAGAGCUCCGGAGAAGCCGAAGCCAAAAUGUUGGGAGUGACAAUGGGAGAUGGGAGCUGGUGUUUGGCUGUAAUGUCCCAGGGCCCUGUGGGUAUGAGGCGACACAGCCCGCACUGCUGGGUUGGGAUGCGAGAGCAGGACGUGAUCGCAGCUUUCUCCACAGACGUGUCCACUCGCUGUUCCUCUGUGGCCAGAAAAUAAUAGUAAAAAAUACAUUGGGAAGGCAAGUGUCAUGGGAGGUCGCUGAGAGCCUGGGGAUGGAGUGAAAAACAGGGUGAUAUGUGCCAAGUGUCACCCGGAGGUGGCAGAGGCUCCUGGAGCAACUUGCAUGGGGAGGGCUGGGACACAGCAGAGCUGCACAAGCACCCUUUGUGUUGCCCUGUGCAAGGAGCUGCAAGGAAAAAGACUGGUGAACUAUGG